AGGAUAAUGGUUCACAAUUUAGUGAUGAAAAAGGAAGCAGGUGAAAGACCUGCGCGGUCCCGCCGCCGUAAUAGGGAGUCUUAUUCAAUUGUCACUGUAUAACUUAUGGGAAGACGAAUUAAGAUGUUGAACUAGAGCCGGAAUACUUGCCAUUAUCUA
rnacentral:ncRNA from 1 species